rnacentral:rRNA from 1 species
GGGUUGUGAGGUUAAGCGACUAAGCGUACACGGUGGAUGCCUAGGCAGUCAGAGGCGAUGAAGGGCGUGCUAAUCUGCGAUAAGCGUCGGUAAGCUGAUAUGAAGCGUUAUACCCGACGAUACCCGAAUGGGGAAACCCAGUGUGUUUCGACACACUAUCAUGACAUGAAUACAUAGUGUCAUGAGGCGAACCGGGGGAACUGAAACAUCUCAGUACCCCGAGGAAAAGAAAUCAACCGAGAUUCCCCCAGUAGCGGCGAGCGAACGGGGAGGAGCCCAGAACCUGAAUCAGUUUGUGUGUUAGUGGAAGCGUCUGGAAAGUCGCACAGUAAAGGGUGAUAGUCCCGUACACAAAAAUGCACAAGUUGUGAGUUCGAUGAGUAGGGCGGGACACGUGACAUCCUGUCUGAAUAUGGGGGGACCAUCCUCCAAGGCUAAAUACUCCUGACUGACCGAUAGUGAACCAGUACCGUGAGGGAAAGGCGAAAAGAACCCCGGCGAGGGGAGUGAAAUAGAACCUGAAACCGUGUACGUACAAGCAGUGGGAGCCUACUUGUUAGGUGACUGCGUACCUUUUGUAUAAUGGGUCAGCGACUUAUAUUCUGUAGCAAGGUUAACCGUAUAGGGGAGCCGCAGGGAAACCGAGUCUUAACUGGGCGUUAAGUUGCAGGGUAUAGACCCGAAACCCGGUGAUCUAGCCAUGGGCAGGUUGAAGGUUGGGUAACACUAACUGGAGGACCGAACCGACUAAUGUUGAAAAAUUAGCGGAUGACUUGUGGCUGGGGGUGAAAGGCCAAUCAAACCGGGAGAUAGCUGGUUCUCCCCGAAAGCUAUUUAGGUAGCGCCUCGUGAACUCAUCUUCGGGGGUAGAGCACUGUUUCGGCUAGGGGGUCAUCCCGACUUACCAACCCGAUGCAAACUACGAAUACCGAAGAAUGUUAUCACGGGAGACACACGGCGGGUGCUAACGUUCGUCGUGAAGAGGGAAACAACCCAGACCGCCAGCUAAGGUCCCAAAGUCAUGGUUAAGUGGGAAACGAUGUGGGAAGGCACAGACAGCCAGGAUGUUGGCUUAGAAGCAGCCAUCAUUUAAAGAAAGCGUAAUAGCUCACUGGUCGAGUCGGCCUGCGCGGAAGAUGUAACGGGGCUAAACCAUGCACCGAAGCUGCGGCAGCGACACUUAGGUGUUGUUGGGUAGGGGAGCGUUCUGUAAGCCUGCGAAGGUGGCCUGUGAGGGCUGCUGGAGGUAUCAGAAGUGCGAAUGCUGACAUAAGUAACGAUAAUGCGGGUGAAAAACCCGCACGCCGGAAGACCAAGGGUUCCUGUCCAACGUUAAUCGGGGCAGGGUGAGUCGACCCCUAAGGCGAGGCUGAAAAGCGUAGUCGAUGGGAAACAGGUUAAUAUUCCUGUACUCGGUGUUACUGCGAAGGGGGGACGGAGAAAGCUAGGUUAUCCGGGCGACGGUUGUCCCGGUUUAAGCGUGAAGGUGGGUGACUUUGGUAAAUCCGGGUCAUCGUUAACACUGAGGCGUGAUGACGAGUCACUACGGUGAUGAAGUAACCGAUGCUACGCUUCCAGGAAAAGCCUCUAAGCUCCAGGUAACAUCAAAUCGUACCCCAAACCGACACAGGUGGUCAGGUAGAGAAUACUCAGGCGCUUGAGAGAACUCGGGUGAAGGAACUAGGCAAAAUGGUGCCGUAACUUCGGGAGAAGGCACGCUGAUGGUAAGUGAAGUGACUUGCUCAUGGAGCUGAAAUCAGUCGAAGAUACCAGCUGGCUGCAACUGUUUAAUAAAAACACAGCACUGUGCAAACACGAAAGUGGACGUAUACGGUGUGACGCCUGCCCGGUGCCGGAAGGUUAAUUGAUGGGGUCAGCCGCAAGGCGAAGCUCUUGAUCGAAGCCCCGGUAAACGGCGGCCGUAACUAUAACGGUCCUAAGGUAGCGAAAUUCCUUGUCGGGUAAGUUCCGACCUGCACGAAUGGCGUAAUGAUGGCCAGGCUGUCUCCACCCGAGACUCAGUGAAAUUGAACUCGCUGUGAAGAUGCAGUGUACCCGCGGCAAGACGGAAAGACCCCGUGAACCUUUACUAUAGCUUGACACUGAACCUUGAGCCUUGAUGUGUAGGAUAGGUGGGAGGCUUUGAAGUGUGGACGCCAGUCUGCAUGGAGCCAACCUUGAAAUACCACCCUUUAAUGUUUGAUGUUCUAACGUGGACCCGUGAUCCGGGUUGCGGACAGUGUCUGGUGGGUAGUUUGACUGGGGCGGUCUCCUCCCAAAGCGUAACGGAGGAGCACGAAGGUUAGCUAAUCCUGGUCGGACAUCAGGAGGUUAGUGCAAAGGCAUAAGCUAGCUUGACUGCGAGAGUGACAGCUCGAGCAGGUGCGAAAGCAGGUCUUAGUGAUCCGGUGGUUCUGAAUGGAAGGGCCAUCGCUCAACGGAUAAAAGGUACUCCGGGGAUAACAGGCUGAUACCGCCCAAGAGUUCAUAUCGACGGCGGUGUUUGGCACCUCGAUGUCGGCUCAUCACAUCCUGGGGCUGAAGUAGGUCCCAAGGGUAUGGCUGUUCGCCAUUUAAAGUGGUACGCGAGCUGGGUUUAGAACGUCGUGAGACAGUUCGGUCCCUAUCUGCCGUGGGCGUUGGAAGAUUGAGAGGGGUUGCUCCUAGUACGAGAGGACCGGAGUGAACGCACCACUGGUGUACGGGUUGUGAUGCCAAUUGCAUUGCCCGGUAGCUAAGUGCGGAAGAGAUAACCGCUGAAAGCAUCUAAGCGGGAAACUUGCCUCGAGAUGAGUCUUCCCUGG